rnacentral:rRNA from 1 species
AUGACACGUGUGCUUCUCAAUCACCAACCCCAUGCGCGCCUUGCCCAAGGUACUCCCUAUGAGAAGCCACCUUCCCAGGCCAUCGAUAAGCAUCCAACAUCGUCCACCAAAUCACUAGCCAUGUCUUCAAGAGAUGGUCUAUCCCGGAAGGCUAUCCUCCGUUGCAACACUAGCAUGAUGGGGUCAUCCUCGUGCUCGUCCUCCAUGUUGUGGAAUGAAGGUAAGGUGGAAAAGAAGGAGGUUGCGUGCACUGGCAAGCCAGAGCACACCUCCUUCAAGUGUUUCCAGUGCAACAAGACAUUCCCAACCCAGCAGGCCAUGGCUGGCCACUGCAGCGCCCACACCCGGGCUAGCUUCCGGAAGAGGGCAGUCGCCAGGCGCACCAAUCAGAUCUCAGAUCCUCCUGCCAUGGUUUCCAUGCCUCGCAACUCGCCACAGCUUCCCCAACAUCAUAAUGUUGAUGCCAUCCACUUUUGGCAUUCACGGGAACAUAUCACAACCAGGAGCAACCCUAUGUUGCCACUAGGUAUAAGGUAUGUUCCGUAUGUUCGUCCAACUGGCAACCAAGUGAUGGUGACGGUUCCAUACCUUUAG